CGCAGCGGUAGGGGGCCUGGGGCGGAGAAGCCGCUACAGCCGCGGCUGGGCGACGCUGACAUCUGGCAUCCCUGGGGUCUCAGAGACACGGGUGGACAGCGACGAGGGCCUUGUGGCCGCCGUGUGUACCCGUGCUUACCCUCUGUCCUCCCUACAGGCGCACGGCGUCCGCCAUGGAAGCGCAUCCGACCGCUGGGGUCUCUGGGUGCCGCGGCCUCGGCUCUCCGGGGCGAUGAGGGACUAGAGGCGCCCUGAGGCCCGCCUGCCUCCCGCGCUCUGGCCACCCCGGCGGGAAAAGGAUCGGGCGGGCGGGCGGUCCCACAGUGCCCGCCUUUGCGCCGCCCCACCCCCUGGGGGCGCUGCCGAGGGGGCGCCAGCCGCCCAUGCCGCCCCGGCGCCCAGCCGCGCCUGGCGCCCGCCGCUGAAGCGCAGGACGCGCCGCCGCCCGCGCUCACCGCCGUCCGCGCCAGCCGCCCCGAGCCGACUGCCCUUCUGCCCCCAAGAUGUGGCACAGCGUCGGGCUGACUCUGCUUGUGUUCGUGGCCACGCUGCUGAUCGUCCUGCUGCUGAUGGUGUGCGGUUGGUAUUUUGUAUGGCAUCUUUUUUUAUCAAAAUUCAAGUUUCUCCGGGAACUGGUGGGAGACACAGGAUCCCAAGAGGGAGAUCAUGAGCCUUCAGGGUCUGAAACUGAAGAAGACACUUCCUCCUCUCCACACAGAAUCAGAUCCGCUCGCCAAAGGAGGGCACCUGCUGAUGAAGGCCACAGACCCCUGACAUAGUCCUGUAUUUGUGAAGGAUGAAAAGGCAGUUGCCAGCUUCUGUCUUUUAGUGACUUGGCUUUGAAAUUUACUAAUGACUGAAGAACAUUUGUAUUGGAUUUUAAGUCGAAUUUUAAAAAAGAUUUACAUGUAAGCCAUAUAAAAAUACAGGGAACUGAAACCAAAUUGGACUAUUAUAAAUUUCAUCUUAAAGAUAAUCUUUUGUUUCACCAGCUUUCUACUUAUACACUUAUUCCUUGGCUUUUGGGCUUAUUUUCUUGCACUGGUGCAGAUCUGGUAAACAUUAAAGCCUUGAAAAACCAUAUUUUGUUAGCCCUAAAAUGUACAUUUUUCUUCCCAUUUUAACUUAUCUGAAAUUGGGAUGCAUCUCAUUACUGUCAACCAGGUGAUAGUCAUGUAACGCUCCUACCGUGUGCAUGUGCGAAUUUACAGCUUGUCAUCGUGUCAUCCCUUUAACCAACAUGUGUUUUGUUGGUAUCAAAUGUGUCAGGUUUAAUUGACAUUUUAAAAUGUCUUCAAAAAGAUUACACUAUGAUUCAGCAUUGAAACGAAAAGUUAUUGUGUAUGCAGAAAAGCAUGGAAACAGAGCAGCAGGGCGUACAUUUGAUAUUAGUGAAGCAAAUAUUCGUCGCUGGAGAAAUGAUCGCAAUUCCAUAUUUUCCUGCAAAGCAACAACAAAAUGUUUUACGGGACCUAAAAAAGGUAGGUACCCACAAGUAGACGAAGCUGUACUACGUUUCGUCAGUGAGACACGUGCGAAAGGAUUGCCUAUCACACGCCAAGCAAUGCAAUUGAAGGCAGGAGAAAUUGCCAAAACCCUAGGAAUUGAUGAAACAAAAUUCAAAGCCACAAGAGGCUGGUGUGACCGAUUCAUGCAUCGAGCAGGACUAUCAUUAAGGCAUCAAACAUGGUUUUGUCCCAAGCUCCCCACUGCCAUUAAACAGAAGACAGUGUUGGAGCACUCUUUCAAGAAGUGCUGCAUAACCAGUACUCUUGACAACACCGGGAGAGACGUUCUGUGGAAAAAUGCAGACAUCAAUGACUGUGGUUUGAAAAGUGAUUCAGAAGAGUUGGAUUCAGAAUAUGAAGUUAUAAUUAUAACUUAACCGAUUUAUUUCACACAUUUUCUUUACAUAUGCACAAGAUUGAUGUGAUAAAAAUCUGUUUAACUCAAAGCGCUGUUUCAAUAAAUAUAAAAUAAACAUUUUCUGUGAUAUGAAAGCAUUGUGUCAUAGUUUAAUGGGCAGUGUUUUUCCUUAGUGAUACAUAUGGUGCAUCUUAACAAUUGGUAGUGUCUUAGGUUAAAUUAAAAAUGGUAGCUUGUGAAUUUAUUUUUCUUUUUAAGAUAGCAGUUAUUUAUUGGGGAAUUUGAUUCUGACUCUUACAAUGUUAAACUUGUUAUCCUGUGUGAAACACAUGUUUUUGGGGGGGAGGGGGUAACCAAGAUUUUAGGGUAGUAACUUAGGAAUCUAAGAACUAUCUUCUACUUUAGGAAGAGUGGGAUUAGUUACUCCCUUUGUAUAGGAGGACUUUAUGCUCAAGGAAUGUGUUGUGGAGAAAAACACUUCUUCACAAACAAUUCAGUGACAAGACCUCAAAGGUAAUGCGUAUUGAGGAAAACAGUAGUGGGUGAAAAUUCCCGCUUAGCUGUAAAAUGACUCUCUUGCCAGGUUUCCGUGUUUGUCUCAACUGAACUCUGGGCUGAGUGUUUACCAGGGAGAAGAGAUGUGAAUUAAACAACCUUCCUGUUUAGUGUUACCUGCUUUGUACAAGAAUGAAGUGCAAAGCCAACUUAUUUUAUUAAUCCAAGUUCUUUUUAUGUUUUUCUUAACCUUUAUUAAGGACUAGUCAUCACAAAAUAUCUAUUUAACCUCUAUUUUAUGAUGGUGUGUUAUUAUGUUUGAUACCUCAUACUUCUUGCUUAGAGUUUUGUUUAACAGUUCACUGGCUCUGUCCCAAUGUUUGUGAUGAACACCUUUUUGCUAUAUUGUAGCUCUUGGAGAUACUAAAAGAGAAUUCACAGAACAUAACUUUAGUUUUAUGUGUUUGCUAGGGGAAGAUUUCCUAGCAGCUGAGAGCAAGGCACAGUCUCUGUCUUCAUUUCUUUAUUAGAUACAAUUUUCUAUUUUUAUGUGACUCUAGGGCAUAACAAAACAGUGACGGUUUCAAGCGUUAAUUUUAAUGCUUCCUACUAGCUAAUAUCAUCUUAAAAUGAUUAUCAGAAAAAAAAAUAAUGCCCCCAAAAACUUUUGGGGGCAUUAUUUGGUACUGGGAGGAUAUUUAAAUUAGAUUUUUCAUAGUCUAUUGUUUUGAACUAUGGAUUCUGUUUUAUGGUGGAUACCUAAGGUUUAUAUAAUAGUUGCUGGAAAACUUAAAGUAGCUGGUGAGCUUCCUGUUAUGUCACUAUUAAAGAAUGAUGGCUGAUGUAACUCUCCCCCUGAAAUCUACAAGGGUCAUGCCCAAAUUAAUACAGGUUAACCUUUGUAGAGGUAUAUAUGUUGGCAUUAUUUAUUGACAUUUAUGCUUCAAGCAUGUCUUAUUUUAUGUAAUUUUAAGAAAUACUCUAUUUAACUUGUGAAAUAUACCUAAAAGCAUACUAGUUAGCUCUUAGACUCUCACUUAGGGAGGGUAAAGAAACAUCACUGAUGCCAAUAUGAAGAUCUAUAAACAAAUCCUUUGUUUAGAACUUUUUUCUCUUCGUGCACCUCACAACACACUUACCAUGGUACAUAUUUCUUAAUGCCACUAAGAAAGGCAAGAUAGUGAACGCAGAAUUAUUUAUGUGGUAUAGUGUUUGUUUUCCUGUUUUAGUGCUUUUGUAGCUAAACUUACCGGAACUGCAUCACAACUACAUUUGCAGUCUCAGUGGGAGGUGGACUAGCCUGUGGUUAACUUUAGAGCUUAAAAGUUGAUAAGCAUUAAAAACACAUACAUGUAUUAGAAUCUUGUCUAACCCCUCACAAAGGAUGAUGGUGAUCAGCAUGCCAUCUUUUGAAGAUUAAUUCUAAAAUUGAGGACUCUGGUAGGUUGUUUUAUUUCUUUCCCAACCAGCCAUUCAUUUCCAAUUGUUCUGCCUUUGAAACUUUUUGUGAAAAUUGCCUGUACCAAUUGCAUUGGUUGCAUUGUUCUGAUUUAAAUGCCAAAAACACUAAAUAUUUGUGUAGUGCUGUUAAAUGAGGUUUUUCAUAUUUCCAUCAAAAUGAAUAUAAAAUUCACUUGAUGGAUUUUGUAGUGAUAUUUUCAUAGUUGAAACAAACAUAUUGCUGUGCGGUGGACAGCCACUUCACAGACAUGCAGACCCAUUUCUUUAGAGAUAUUAGGUUUAAAACCCAUUUUAAUUUUAUUUUGCUGAAGGUUUGGAAUAUAUAAAGUAAUGGAUUCACAAAAUAUGAUAUCUUAAAACAUGUUGAAAGAUUUGAAAGUGGUGCAUUUUUACUUUUAAGAGCAGCAAUCUUUGAAAUUAGUCAACAAUGCAGUCUUUUUUAAAAGUCAGUUUUCUCAAGUAGUAUGUUGUAACGUAAGAUGUAACUGAUAUAACUAGAUUUUGACUGGUAAACUUAAAGUGCUUUUUAUAUUUGAGGUUGACUUUAAAAAGCCAUUGAGCAGUCCUCAGAGGUUAUGGACUCUCAAGCGACUAAUGGAAUAGUGUUCUGUUGUGAAGUCUAGAACUAAAGCACCUUGUAUUGUCUGCUUCUAAAGUGUCCUAUAGUUUUUAACUUAAAGUGUAAAGAGUAACAUUUUAUCUUAUGUCAAUUAAAGUUACAUUUUUCAUUUGUUGGUGUACAUGUGCUACCUGUUUAAUGGGGAAUGUUUAACACGAUCCUCCAAGUUGGUUCUAUGCAUAACCAUUCACCAAAUACUGCUGCUGUGAUUCCUUGAAGGAAAUAUUCUGUGCUCUGCUAUGAUGCAUUGCCAUCUUGCUGCUUGACAAUAGGUUUAUAAAUAAUUAGAAUUAUGUGUUUUAAUAGUACCUUUGUAUAUAUAACAAGAUGUAAAAUUAAAGAUGAGGAAUGUGUGUAAAUGAUCAUUCACUGUUUUUGUUUUAAAACUGGUCAGUACUAUAAAGCUUCUGUGGUUUGUAUGAUGUUUUAACUUUCACUUUAAACUGCAUAGAAUAAAUUAAAUUGAAAACAACAAAAGUUAUGUGUCUCUGGUUGAUAAAGGAUAAUAAGUAUGAACGGUGCCUUGGACAUGAAGGGAUUUGAAAGCAGCCAUUCUUAGUAAUGGUCCAC
rnacentral:lncRNA from 1 species